GCCACCGCACCCGGCCCUUUUGUUGUUAAUUUUUAAAUUUUGUGGCUAAUUUUUAAAUUUUUGUAGAGAUGGGGUCUGGCUAUGUUGCCCAGGCUGGUCUUGAACUUCUGGCCUCAAGCAAUCAUCCUGCCUUGGCUUUCCAAAGUGCUGGGAUUACAGAUGUGAGCUAAGACACCCAGCUCCAUGGAGUUGGUCUUAACUGCCAUGGCCAAGGGACAUGUGGCUGCUUCUCUCUGAGUCAGAAAAUAUGGGUAAAAAGCCUCCUCACAGGGCAGCUGUGGACAUUCAGUAUGAAAAUGCUGAAAGAGAUCGGGAAUGGUCUCUUUCACACCUGUAAUCCCAGCACUUUGGGAGGUGGAGGCGGG
rnacentral:lncRNA from 1 species